rnacentral:lncRNA from 1 species
CCUCCUCUUGCCUUUUAUCCUCUGUGGCAGAGCAUCAGAACACUCUCCUUUUGGAUUUCUACAUGGGGUCUUCCAAGAAGGUUACCAUCUCAGUGCUCAGCCGGGAGCAGUCAGAAGGGGUUGGAGCACGGGUACGCAGAAGCAUCGGCAGACCCGAGGUAUGUUAGUUGGGUGGCUGCUCCUGUUUUCUCUUCAGAAGGAACUGGUGGGAUGUUGAGGAUGAUUUGGAAAGAGAGGGCCAAGAUGGGCAUGAGCUUCCCUGUGCAGUGCCAUAGAUACAAACUCUAAGCUUCAUGAUUGAGGCCACAUGCAGACCAUCCCUAUCCUAAAGGGAAGUUCUAGAAUGUGAAUACAGAAGUCCGGGGCAACAAGUACAGUUGAGCUUCAGGAAGUGUGUCUGCUUCUGUCUGCACAUCCACCUUGGGCUGACCUGCUCUCUGAUUUAGCAUGUGCAUCACUGAACAUAUAGCUCCUCAGUUUAUAUGCUCACAAUUCAAAGUAUUUGGGAGUAAUUUUGGGUCUCAGUUCUAAAUUCCCAGGAGACAGAAUUGAUUAGCCUAGCAUGGGUCAGGUAUCUAUUCCUGGUCAAUCCCAAAGUGUCGGGGAUUUGGAUUCACAGAGAGACUGCUUAAGACUCAACUCUGUAGACUUCUGGUGAGGGGCCCAUAGAUGGGGACUCAGUAAAGGUGAGAUAGAUAUUUUCAACAUUAGAGAAUCUUUUCACUUGAAUUAUAUUGGGAACUUGAGAUUUAAAGGGGAAUAAAUUCUUAGUAUAUAUUAUUUGUCAAUUCAAAAAAAUAAAUAAGAGGUAUCAAAUAGUAGUCAUAGCCCCGGGGCCAUACCAGAUUCCAAAAUUAUUUUUGAAUAAGAGGAAAUGCAUAAGAGAAAUGGAUUCCAUUUUGAGAAGUAAGGCUGAGUUGUCAAUCCUCUUAAACUCUAUUCAGAUUGUACCUUUUUUUUGUUUGUUUUAUUUAUUUAUUUUGGUACCGGGGAUUGAACUCAGGGGCACUCAACCACUGAGCCACAUCCCCAGCCAUAUUUUGUAUUUUAUUUAGUGACAGGGUCUCAGUGAGUUGCUUAGAGCCUCACUGUUGUUAAGGCUGGCUGUGAUGCGCGAUCCUCUUGCCUCAACCUCCCUAUCCACUGGGAUUAUAGGCGUGUACCACUGUGCCGGGCCAGUACCUUGUUUUAAAAAUAUUUUUUAGUUGUCAAUGGACUUUUAUUUUAUUUCUUUAUAUGCGGUGCUGAGAAUGGAACCCAGUGCCUCACAUUUGCUAGGCCAGUGCUCUACCACUGAGCUACAACCCCAGCCCCUCAGAUAGUAUCUUGCUACUUUGUGGCUAAACCUAAGUUUUAUGCCACUCAUUACAUAAGACUUACUGUCUGCACCUUUAAACAAAAAGUUAUCUUUGAAAAUUGCUUACAGGGUUUUUAAAACAUGGCUUUCCUCAGUGAAUGUGGCUGUGCAUUGUUGAUAGAUUGGAUAUUUUUUAAAAAGUAGUUAUUUAUUUUUUUGAAUUGACAAAUAAAAAUUGCAUAUACUAUCCCAGCACCUCAGGAGACUGAGGCAGAAGGAUUGUGAGUUCAAAGCCAGCCUCAGCAACUUAGUCAGGCCCUAAGCAAAUUAACAAGACCCUGUUUGUAAAUAAAAUAUUAAAAAGGGCUAGACAUGUGGCUCAGUGCUUAAGCACAAUCCCUAGUACUAAAAGACUUGACCAGAAGAACUUGAGAGGAGGAAAAGUUUAUUUGAGGGCUCAUAGUUUCAAGGGUAGCUGAUACUUUAAUGAGUCCAACCGUCCAUAGACAGCUGGCUCCAUUCCUCCGGGCCUGAGGUGAGGUCGGAACAUCAUGGUGGAAGAGUGUGGCAGAGGGAAGUAGCUCACAUGAUGAUCAGAAAGAGAGAAACUUCACUUUCCAGAUACAAAAUAUACACCCAAAGCCACGCUCCCAGUGCCUACCUUCUCCAGCCACACCCUGCCUGCCUUCAGUUACCACUGGUUUAAUCCCAUCAGGGGAUUAAUUCACAGAUUGGUUAAGGCUCUCAUAACCCAAUUAUUUCUCCUGUAAGCCUUCUUGCCUUGACUCACACAUGAGCUUUUGGGGGACACCUCACAUCUAAACCACAACAUAUGUGUACAUUGUGAAAUGGCUAAAUGAAGCUAAUUAACAUAAGUAUUAUUUCACAUCAUAUUUUUUUUUUCUUUUAGUGGUGAGAAUGCUGAAAAUCCCUGGUCUAAAUAACUUCCAAGGGUACAAUACAUUGUCAUUAAUUGUAGUCCCCAUGUUGUGAAAUGGAUCUAUUAAACUUGUUCCCUAAAUGAAAUUUUGUGACCUUUGACUAACAUUUCUCCAGCAUCCCCACCCCUACCCCUGGUAGCCACUGUUCUCUGCUUCUACUUGUUUAGAUCCCACAUAUAAGUGAGAUCACGCAGUAUUUAUCCUUGUGUGCUGACUUUAUUUCACUGAGCAAGAAUAUUGCUGACUGGCCAUUGAAGUAGGGGGUGAAUUGUCAACCUAAUUCUGCAGCCAGUCUACCAGGUUUCCCUGGCUGUUACCUUGCUAUUUCUCUUUACAGGGUUAACUUCUUGUUUACCCACAAAUAUCUCUCAAGGCCCAUCAAAUAUUGUUUGCCAAGGAUACAUGCAGACUGGUUGGUACUAAGAGCUAAAUGCGUAGGGGCAGAUGGAGGUGGUGUCAUAUUCUACUAUGCUCCAUCAACAACAGAACAAUUGGAAAGAUUUCUCAAACACUACAGACACCUCUCAGUUAACUGUUAUUGUAUGUCAAGGGUAGCUAAUACUUUAAUGAGUCCAACCAUCAAGAACACAUUUGCUGAGGAUUUUCUGAAAAAGAAAUUUUGAUCUGUUUGGUGGUCUGAUGAAACCUAUCAAUUCCUUUGCAAAACAAUGUUUUUAGAUAUAUAAAAUAGCUGGGUGCUAUGGUACAUACCCAUAAUGCCAACCACAUGGAAGACUGAGGCAGGAGAAUUGCAAUUUCAAAGUCAGCCUCAGCAACUUAGGGUCUCGCUAAGUUGGUUAGGGCUUCACUGUCUCUAAAUUUAAAAAUAUUAAAAAAAGAGCUGGGUGUGGUAGUGCACACUUGUAAUUCCUGCAGUUUUGGAGGCUGAGACAGGAGGAUUGCAAGUUCAAAGCCAGCCUCAGCGAAAGCAAGGUGCUAAGCAACUCAGAGAGACCCUGUCUCUAAAUAGGGCUGGGGAUGUGGCUCAGUGGUUGAGUAUCCCUGAGUUCAAUCCCUGGUACCCACCCACCACCCCACAAAAAACAAAACAAAACAAAAAAAUUAAAAAGGGCUGGGGAUGUGGUUCAGUGGUUAAGCACCCUGGAUUCAAUCCCUGGUACCAAAAUAAAUAAAUAAACAAAUACGUAAAAUAAACCACAGAGGAUUACCAAGAAAAAAUUUUAUACUACAAUAUGGUUAAAAUUUUCGAGAACCACUGGUGCAGUGCUAUACACCUGUAGUGCCAGCACUCCUUGGGCUGAGAUAGGAGCUUUGCAAGUUUGAAAGCAGCCUCGAUAACUUAGUGAGACCCUUAUCAACCGAGGGAGACUGGUUUUGGAGAAUGCUCUUACACACAGCUGAACCUAAUCCUAAAUGAUAUAAAGCCAAUAAUACCUGAGGUAGCAGGGUACAAUCAAGUGAUUCUAGGUUAGCCUACAUCAAGACAAGAUUGUAGGGCUGGGGUUGUGCCUCAGUGGUAGAGCACUUGCCUUAAAUGUGAGGUACUGGGUUUGAUUCUCAGCACCACAUAUAAAUAAAAAAUAAAGGUCCAUCAACAACUAAAAUGAAUGAAUAAAUAAAAUUAAAAAAAAGACAAGAUGGCAGCAGCAAAGGGAGACCCUCCUCACUACGUUAUUCAUGACCCUAUUUUUGACCAUUUAGGUUCUUGCUGUGUUUUUGUUUGUUUGUUUGUUUUUUGGUACUGAGGAUUGAGCCCAGAGGCACUUAAUGACUGAGCCACAUCCCCAGUCCUUUUUUAUUUAGAGAGAGGGUCUCACUGAGUUGCUUAGGGCCUUGCUAAGUUGUUGAGGCUGGCUUUGAACUCAUUAUUCUCCUGCCUCAGCCUCCAGAGCUGCAGGGAUCACAGGCGUGUGCCACUGUCCUGAAUGUUGCCAUGUUUUCUCAGCACUACGCACUACCAUCUUGUCAGAAAGGUAGACCCCUAGUCUCAUCAGCAGAGAAUAAAGCCAUUUGUCUAAUGUCAAGGAAGUUACUUUUCAAAUUCUCUGCACUAAGGUUUAGAUCUCUGAAGAAAUAUCUCAUAAACAUUGGAUCCCAGUGCUAUUUUUUUGUACAAGGGAUUGAACUCGGGGGCACUCAACCACUGAGCCACAACUCCAGAUCUAUUUUGUAUUUUAUUUAGAGACAGGGUCUCACUGAGUUGCUUAGCACCUCACUUUUGCUGAGGCUGGCUUUGAACCUCCAAUCCUCCUUCCUUAGCCUCCUGGGCUGUUUUACAGGUGUGCACCACUGCGCCUGGCUCAUAUCCAUGUUUUUAGUAUCCACAAUGAUUGACUCAUGGGCAAUCUUAUUUUGUGUAUAUCCUCCUCUAUUUCUCCCCUUAAAGCAUUUUGAAGGGACCCCUAGCCAUCUUUUCAUUUAUAUAUAUUUUCAGUCUAUAAAAGAGAAAAAUUGAAACUAUAUGUAUGAAUACAAUCCCAUUAUCACACUUAUAACUUAAAAUAAUUACUUAAUAUCACCAAAUAGCCCUGCCAAAUCUUGGUCUUCAUUGAUUUAGCCCCUGUAGCUGGUGCUCACCAUUAUCAAGAUACUGAGUUAAGGUAGAGGGUGUAAGAGUCACAGCUCAAGAUAGUUCAAGGCUUUAUCUAGAUUUCUGUCUGGGAUAUGUGCUUGUGGUCUCCUAAAACCUCAAGCCACAGUCUAGAUGCUGAGUAAGCCUAGGAGGUUAAGCCUCUGAGCUGCUAGAGGGCCUCCCUUUUUUGCUGCCAUCUUGUCUUGAUGUAGGCUAACGUAGAAUCACUUGAUUGUACCCUGCUACCGCAGGUAUUAUUGGCUUUAUAUCAUUUAGGAUUAGGUUCAGCUGUGUGUAACAGCAUUCUCCAAAACUAGUGGAUAACAGAAGUGUUUGUAUUUCUGUUUUGUAAAGCCCCAAAAUAGGCAGUCAGGGGGUUAAAGGCCUCACUGUUACUCAUUCUAUCUUAGGUCAUAAUUCUUGUUUAUUCCUUAUGGUCCAAGACAACUAUUAGGGCUAUGUUAGUCAUCUUUACAUUGCAGUGAUCAAAAUACCUGACAAGACAAUUUAGAGGAGGAAACAUUUAGACUCAUGGUUUCAGAGGUUCAGUUCAUGGUAGGCCAACUCCAUUGCUUUGGGCCUGAGAUGAGGCAACAUCAUGGCGGAAGGGCAUAGUGGAGGAGUGCUGCUCUGUUUCUGGCAGCCAAGAAACAGAGGGGAAGAAUCCAGGAAGCAGAGAGAGGGGUAAGGGGCCACAGGGAAGAUGAACCCUUCCAGGUAUGUUCCCAGUGAGCCACCUCCUCCAGUCAUGCCACCCCUGCCUACAGUUACCACAUAGUUAGUUCAUUCAAACUAGGAUGGAUGCUUUAGGUUACAUUUCUCAUAAUCUGAUCAUUUUGCCUCUGAAUAUUCCUGCAUUAACAUAGGAGCUGGGGGGCAGGGGCAUACCUUAUAUCCAAGCAACAACAAGGGCAUCAACAACCAUUUACACUCGGCCACACAAAGGAGGAAGAGGGGAAAGGAAAAAGAACACACCUCAGCUGUCCAUCCCCCUUUUAUAAGGAAUUUUCCUAAAGGCUCCACUCUGUAAUUUCUACAUUGUGGCUAGUUUCAAUCAUAUGACCACACCUAGCUACAGAAAACUAGGGAAUCUAACACAAGUACUACUCAGGAUUUUUUGUGGGGUACCUUCCUUGUAUAUAGAAGUAUUCUAAAUUCAGUGGGGCAUCAUAACAAAAGCACAGCCCUAGCAUCAUAACAAAAGCACAGCAUGUGUCCUAUCCCCAGGGAACUGCCAUUCCUAGUUGGUACUUCCAGUGCUUCCUGACUUAAACAAAUACCAGGCUGCUGGAGUUUUAUUAUGCAAGUGCUGUGGGCCAAGGGGUGGUGACCACAGAUUUUGAUUGACUUUCUCAGGAGAUCAAAAGAAAUAACUUGGAAGAUACAGCUUGAAUUUGGCAGUUAAAGGAUUUGGAAGUGUGUACAGGAAAGGAAAAAUUUAAAAGACCAUCAAUUUGAUAUGUAGAGAAAGAAAUAUGUGAUUGAGUUGGGGUCUUAGUUAAAACAGGUUAGAAAAUCAGUUUUCAUAUAAACUGAUCUUAUAUACAGAUAACAUUUAUUUAACACAUUGUGGAAUCUAUGCUCAAUGUUUAGAGAAUAUUAGGAACUUUGAUAAGGACUAUUUUUUUCUUUUUUAAAAUAUCUUUAUUUUGUUUGUUUGUUUAUUUAUUUAUUUAUUGUUUAUUUAUAUAUGGUGCUAAGGAUCGAACCCAGUGCCUCACAUGUGCAAAGCAAGUGCUCUACCACUGAGCCACAACCCCAGCCCCAAGUACUAAUUCUUGACCCUGCAAAUAACACUUUAGUACAAUAGUUUAACACAAGAUACUCAUACUUAUUGGAGAAAGAUAGUCUCUAACACUAUCUUUCACCUUUUGGCCACUAAAACUAGUUGUUACAGAGCUGGGGCCUUCUGGGAAAUUGAGGCAUGAAGAGACCCCCCCCCUUCAAACCCCAGUUCUUUCGAUCAAGUCAGAAAGAUUUCAGACAUGUCACUCAAAGUAACAGGCAUGAAUUGAUUGAAGGUAUAGAAAAAGGGAAAGGAGACACUCUCAAGGGAGAGAGAGGGUCCUAUGAGAGAUAUGAGGGACAGUUUGCCUCUCUUGCACUCCAGUUUUAUUGGGGAUCCCAGAGAAGUUUCCAGAGACUCCUACCCAGGUUCACUUCUUGACUUUUGACUGACAGCAGGGUGACAUCAGACAUCUACAUCCCCACUGCCAUGACCACUCUAGUUAUAUUGGGCCUUGCUGACUGGUUCUAAUUGGAUUCUUAACCUUUCUUUUAUGGUUAAGAUUUUGUGGUUAGGAAGAAUUACCCUUAUCUCCCUUGAGUUUCAGGAUCUGGUCACCAAAGUCUCCUGGGUUCCUCCCAUCAACUUUAUCUUGGGUCUGCAUUUCACCUGCAGUUAACAGGUAGUUUGCUCAGGAAUGUGACAUAUCGGUCCAAUUAUGCCCUGCAGGGCUGCAGGUAAAUUGCUUCUUGAAAAAGAAAGCAUGUGGGGCCAGCACAGUGGGCCCAUCUUAUAGAAUUAUUCUCUUGUGUUCCCACCAUCCUCAUCUGUCUGUCCCCUAUCAAGGUCAUCCCUCUGACUCGCUUCAACCAACCCCCUGGCUUCUGUAAUCUCUUCCUGGUCAUGGCUUUCUUCCUGUGUGUGUUGCUACAUCAUGGUUUGGUGACCAGUAUUACAAAUAGUUUUGAUAUGGUUGAAAUUAUCCUCAAAUUGAUAUGUUGAGACCCUAAUCUCGAAGGUGAUGUUAUCAGCAGGUGGAGGCCCUCUGGAGGUAGGUCAUGGGGCUGGGACAUACCAUAGAGUCAGCUGGCCCCUUCCAGUAUGUGAGGACACAGCUAGAAGUUGCCAUCUAUGAACCAGGGGGUGGAUCCUCACCAAAUUCUGAAUUUGCUGGUGCCUUAAUCUUGGAUUUCUCAGCCUCCAGAACAAUAAGAAAUAUACAUAUAUAUAGUCAUUUAUAAGCCACUCAGUUUAUGGUAUAUUGUUUUAGCACCUCAAAAAGAAUAAGAAAAUUGGCACCAAGAGAGGGGUCAUUCUUCCAUUGUUUUGGACAAUAUAUCCUAGCUUCUGUUUAAAAUGGCUCCUUAUCAAGUGGUGAUUUGGCCACAUCCUUGGUUUUUCUCCCACACAUUUCUUUACAAUGAGAAAGCUUUAUUCCAAGUAGGCUGAAGAUUUUCCAAAUCUUUUAAGCUCUACUUCCCUUUUAAUUAGCAAUUAUUUAUUUAUUUAUACUGAGAAUUAGACCCAGAGGUGCUAAACCAUGGAGCCACAACUCUAGCCCUUUUUAUUUUUUAUUUUGAGACAAGAUUUUGGCAAGUUACUUAGGGCCUCACUAAGUUGCUGAUGCUGGCCUUAAAUUUGUAAUCCUCCUGCCUCAGCCUCCAGAGCUGCUGGGAUUAUAGGUGUGUGCCACCAUGCCCAGCUUAAUGAUUAACUCCUACAUGUACUUUAAGACCUCCUUUAUUCUACCUCAUUCUCACAUGUGUAAAAUUGUCUUUCCUUAGAGCAUUUACAAUCACAUUGCAUUACUUGGUUUUGUAGUCUGUUCCAUUAUGAAUCUCUUUAGGACACAGAUGAUCUUAUUUGUACUUCACUAUUUAUAUCUCAAGUGAUUAUGAAAUGUUUGUUCACUCUUAGUAAAACAUCAACUCUCUAACACAAUCAGCAAAAAAAAAAAAAAAAAAAUUUUUUUUUUUUGUUUUUGGUACCAGGGAUUGAACUCAGGGGCACUCAACCACUGAGCCACAUCCCCAGCCCUAUUUUGUAUUUUAUUUAGAGACAGGGCCUCACUGAGUUGCUUAGCACCUUGCCAUUGCUGAGGCUGGCUUUGAACUCGAGGUCCUCCUGUCUGAGGCUCCCGAGCCACUGAGAUUAUAGGUGCGUACCACCGUACAGGCAGAAAUAAGGAAUUCUUCCUGAAAGCAAUUUUCAUCACAAGAAGUUGCUUUCUGGCUAUGUAGUUUUUGAUGAGUUUUGCUAAAUCGGUUCAUGAAUGCAGUCUCUGGUAUCAUGGCUGAAAAAGCACAUCUAAUCUGAUGAAUUAUAUUUUGAUUUCAGUUAAAAAAUCUGGAUCCGUUUUUACUUUUUGAUGAAUUUAAAGGAGGUAGACCUGGUGGGUUUCCUGAUCAUCCACAUCGAGGUUUUGAAACAGUAAGUAUGAUAAUUUGCUUGUGAAAGUGUGUAUUUUAAAACUCACUUCUAAUUGAAAAUUCAAUUUUGGAAUAAUGGAUAAUAGACUAAAAUUCAUUUUAUAAGUUUCUGGCUAUGCACUGUCUUACCAUAGAACUGUAAUAUCAAUUUUACAUGAGAUGUACUCAAGUUUAAGUAUUUACUAUUAAUAUUCUUUGGAUUUGUGCCACUGGAGGCAUUUCAUUUGAGCAGUUAAUAAGCAAAAAUUGGCUUCUUAAAGUACUUUUAUAAUUAAAAAAAUUUACUGGAGAUGAAAAAACUAUUUAAGAUGUGAUUAGUUAUGUCUAUCUAUCUAUCUAUUUCUAUUUCUAUGCAAGAAUAGAUACAUUUAACCCCAUGUAAUAUAAACCCCCAAAGACAAUUCAAGAACUCAGUGAGUAUUUAUACUAGGUUCUAAGAAAUUAUAGAAUCAGGGGGCCAAAAUGCAACAUAGCCUAAAAAUUAGGGUUUUGAGGACAUACUUAGACCUUUGCAAGUUUAAUUGCAAAAUUUAGAGAUUCUGUUGAAUAAUAUUUUUAGUUUUGAUUAGAUAUGGAAAAAAUAUGCAAUAUAAUAUUGUGGCACAUUCAAUGUUUUCCAUAUAUAUAUAUAUAUUUUUUUUUUUUUUCUGGGAAAACUCAGUGACACUUCCUGUUACAAAGUUUAGCCAUUUCCUCUUUAUUUUUUUUUUUUUUAAUAUUUAUUUUUUAGUUUUCAGGACACAACAUCUUUAUUUUAUUUUUAUGUGGUGCUGAGGAUCGAACCCAGUGUCCCGCGCGAACGCGUUACCACUUGAGCCACAUCCCCAGCCCUGCUCUUUAUUCUUAACAAAUAAUCCAGGGCUUGUUAAAGGUUUAAUAUAUUUGCAAAGCCAAUUAGUGAAUAAGUAAAUAUUUACUGAAGGCUGGUGACAUGCAAGUGUUGGUAUAGGGUGAUCUUUUGUAUUUCCGUGUGUUUAUUGUGUGUUGGGGACUGUUGGUACAAGGCAGAAGGAGUGAGGCUAAAGAAGAAUGGGGCAUGAUCCUUACUCAUAUCCAUAUGUGGUCUAGUUAAGGAUAUGAAAGCUGGCUAGAGAGUUAGCCAUCAUUGUGUAGAAGUUAAACGAACCCAGAAACUUCUAGAAACAGGAUCAGGGUAGUUGGGAUCUGUCUUCCUUUAGCAAUUUGCCAUCUAGUUCAUCUCUGCUAAUAUAUCAGGAGCACUGUGCUUUACAAACACAAUUUCGGGAGCCAUGUGUCUCAUGUUCUCUAUAUCCAUGUUGGAUUCCAACACUUUUCCCAGAACAUGUCUCUGCAUACCUCCCUCUAGUUUCCAUCUUACUAAUCCCUUAAAAAUUUUUAAAACGUCAUUAUGUCCAUCAAGUUUUCCAGACAAUCCCAAGAGGAUGCACUUUCUCCUUUGUUUGAUCUGCAUAGCGUUAUAUUUUUUACUAGUCUCACAUCCAUUAUAUAUUAAAGGUGAUCUUGAUCAUUUUCUGUCUGUCUUGUGUUAGAGUUGGGACUUACCUCAACCUCCCCUCACCACACCCAAGAAAACUAUAAAUUGCUUCAGUAACUACUGGCUAAAAUUAAUUGGAUAAUAAAGAUGACUUUUGCUGAAGACAACAAGUAUAUUUAAUAAAAUGAAUAGGGAAACAUAUUACUUUCAUUUCCAUUAUGGAAAGUGCCUUCUAAGGGGACUGUUUUAUAUAUUGGAAGGCAUUCAACUACAAAAACUCAACUGUGAAAUAUCCAUGUUUGGUGCUUUCUUUUUAAAAAUUUUCCUUAAAUCUGUAAAUUAGUAAUCACAAGUGAUGCUCAUUAUUUGUGGAUUGCAUAUUCAUGAAUUCACCUACUUGGAAAAUUCACUAGUAACCCCAAAUCAAUACUUGUGGGGCUUUUGUGGUAAUUCAUGGACAUGUAUGGAGUGGUGCAACUUUGGAGUUGCCCAGUGUUCAUGUUCCCAGCUAAGGUUGAAUAAGGUGAUGCUCGGCUUUCUUGUUUCAGUUCUCAUAAUGUAAGCAAGCGUCCUUUUCAUGGUCUUAGUGCCACAUUUCUUAUAUUUUCAUGCUUCUUCUUGGUCAUUUCACUGUUUAAAGUGGCUCCCAAGCAUAGUUCCACAGUGCUGUCUAGAACCCCUACGCACAAGAAUACAGUUAAUGUAGGGCUGGGGUUGUAGCUCAGUGGUAGAGUGCUUGCCUUGAAUGCGUGAGGCCCUGGAUUCGAUCCUCAGCACCACAUAAAAAUAAAGAUAUUGUGUUCAUUAACUGAAAAUAAAUAAACAAAGAAUACCGUUAAUGUGUCUUUUCUCAUGGAGAACAGUGUAUCUUACAUAAACUGUGUUCAUGUAUGAAUUGUAGCACUGUUGGCUGAGAGUUCAAUGUCAAUUAAUUGACAAUACAUAUUACAUAAUGUGUCUUUAAACAGAAACACAUAAAACAGAGUCAGAUAUUGACAGGUUUACAAAAAAUACUAUGGAGGCUUGAAGGAACCCAAUCCUGUAUUUCCUGUAGGAACAGUGGUUCAGCAUUCAUUAAUCCAGUGAUCAUGGUAACUUUAUAAAACAUAACUGCCUUGAAUCAUGAGAAAUGACUUUGUCGGUUUUCCCCACGAGGGUUGGUAAGCCAGGGACUCAACUAUCUCUUCAUAUGGACUUUAAAAAGUCUACAAUUUGAAGCCAAGUUCACCUGUAGUCUCUCAUCACCUUUUCUCUGGAGGUUUAUCUAACUUAUACAGGCUUAUAAAUUUUGAAAAUGCUGGAAAAUAUAAAGAACAAACUUAGGAUGUGCUGUUAUGUUACCUUAGUGUACAAAAAUAUUGUUAUUUUCUAUCUAUUUUCCUCUAGUACUUUUCUGUUAUCUUGCUAUAUAUGUUUUGCAUUUUUUUUACCUAACAUUAUACUGUUAGCAUUUUUCUAAUAUUCUUCAAAAACCUAAUUUUUAUUGGUCUCAUUAAGUAUCUGCCAUGAUGAUUGUACCAAUUGACAUUAUCUUGGUGAAGUAUGAAAGCAACUAUUUUCUUUCAAUAUCACCAACAUAAUGCAUUUUUAAAUCUUUGCUCUUUUUCUUUCUUUCUUUUUUCUUUUUUUUUGACUGGGAAUUGAAACAAGAGGCGGGUGCUUUAUCAUUGAGCCAUAUCCCCAAUCUUUUAUUAAAUUUUUUUAUUUUUUAUUUUGAGACUGGAUCUCACUAAGUUGCUUAAGGCCUUGCCGAGUUGCUGAGGUUAGACUGAAACUUGUGAUGCUCCUGCCUCAGUCUCCUCAGUUGCAAGGAUUACAGAUGUGUGCCAUGGAUCCCAGCUAAAUCUUUGCUAUUUAGAGAAGUGAAAAACAAUGCCUCAUCAUAGUUUUAAUUGACAUUUCUUUUAUUUGAGCAAGACUGAUUUUCUUUUCAUUUUAAAACAUUCAUUUAUCAUAGAUAUUUAGAUCUUUGCCCUAUAUUUUUUCUGUUGUGCUGUAUUGUCAAUAGUGUGUAAACCAUGAGUAUCUUCUUUUCAGGCUAAUCUAAACUUUGGCAGGACUUGCCAAGGUUUAUUCUUUUUUGGCAGGGGUGGUGGUGGGGUGUGCUGGGGAUUGAUUUCAGGGGCACUCAAUCACUGAGCCACAUUCCCAGCCCUAUUUUGCAUUUUAUUUAGAGACAAGGUCUUACUGAGCUGCUUUAGCGCCUCGCCAUUGCUGAGGCUGGCUUUAAACUUGUGAUCCUCCUGCCUCAGCCUCCUGAGCUGCCUGGAUUACAGGCAUGCACCACCCCAUCCAGCUCAAGGUUUAUCCUUAUUGGUAUUAUUUUUAUUAUUUUACAUAAGUUCCUUAUAUAUUAAGGAAACAAGAUCCUCUUAGUGAUAGGAGGUGAAAUAGUGUUAAGAAAGAUUAGAAUGUUUUGCAUGUCUCCAAACAAAGCAUAGAUAGUAGUUAACUAAUAGAAGAACUUUCUAAGCUGGGUGUGGUGGUGCAUGCCGGUAAUCCCAGUGACUGAGGAGGCUAAGGCAGAAGGAUUGCAAGUUCAAAGUCAGUCUCAGCAACUUAGCAAGAGCCUGUCCCAAAAUAAAAAUAAAAAGGUCUGGGGAUGUGGCUUAGUGGUUAAGUGCCCCUGCAUUCAAUUCCCAGUACCAAAAGAUUUUAAAGAAGACUGAGCAGUAAGGGGUGGAAUAAUUUUGCAGUUAUCCAAUUUUUAGACUCUCCUGAUAUGAUAAUUUGUUUAGGGAAGCUAUAAAUAAUCACAAGCACAGGAUGAUCUAAAAAAUAAGAAAGCCCUGCCCAAGUUUAGUUUAGUUCAAAAAAGAGGUACUUAGCUAGGUGUAGUGGUGCAUUCCUGAGAUCCCAGUAGCUCAGGAGGAUUGUGAGUUCAAAGCCAGCCUCAGCCAUGGUGAGGAGCUAAGCAACUCAGUGAGACCCUGUCUCUAAAUAAAACACAAAAUAGGCUGGGGUUGUGGCUCAGUGGUCAAGUGCCCCUGAGUUCAAUCCCCAGUACCCGCACCCACCCCCUCAAAAAAAAAAAAAAAAAAGAGGUACUCACAGCACACACCUAUCCUGAGAAGAAACAUAUUUUGUGUCUUUCAAAAUUGCCUUUAAAUUAUGGUCUUAAGUCUUCCCAGGUUUUAUCACUGAAAAGUCUCAUGUCCCUGGGAACCCCUCAGACCUGAAUAAACUGAAAUGGUUAGUGGUUACUCCUGCGUCAUUUUAGGAUGGUCUCAUUCAUUAUGUUCUUAGUUAGGCUAAAAAGUAUUUAAAAAAAAGUUUUUUACUACAAGCCUCAGCAGGUCCUUUGAUUUUCUUCAUGAGAACAAAACCACCCUGUUUCCAAGGGUGUGCCUAUCAGAAAAGCCACACUCAUAAUAACUGGUUGGUAGCCAGCAGCAUUUGCAGGCAUUGCCUGAAAAAUAUCCUAGAGAGGAAGGGAAAGGCCCUAGUGAUUCACACCUAAAACUUAUGACCAAAUUCCAGCGUCCUAUCUCCCACACAGCCUGUUUCUUCUAGCUUGCUAUGCGCCAUUUUCAAAAGCAAACCAUAUCAUCCAGGCUGAAUCAAGGCUGAAAAAAAAAGAGAGAGAGAGAGAGAGAGAGAGAGAGCGAGCGAGCUUGAUGAGAAGAAAAAAAGUUUCUGGAAAAAUUGGGAAAUGAUACUUUCCUAAUAUCAUAGAGACUAUUGUUUUAUGAGUAUCUUAUGUCAUAUUUAUUUAUUAAAAAUUUGUUCUAAUUAGUUAUGUACGAUAGUAGUUAUGUCAUAUUUAACACUCAGAUAUUGCUAGCCCAAACUGGAUUCAGCUACUGUGAAUUUUCUUUUGUUAUCAUAUUACCUACAAACAAAUAAUUUUCUUCCUCCUUUCCAAUAUUUAUGACUCUUAUUAGAAAUGGUUAAAGCUCUCAGAACCAUAAGAAAUUGUGAUUGGAGGACUCAGGACUUGUCCUAAAGUUGUGGGUAUAGUGAGGCAUAUGGAUUUUAGAAUAUAUGUUGAUUUUGGAAAGAAGUUAAAGAGUUGAUAAGAGGGACAUCCCCACCCCUAUGACAUCCCUGGGCACCACCAUAAUAAGAAUGUCAACCAAAACCUCUAAGUAAAUGGCUAGAUCUAAAAUAGCUAUGUAAAAAUCAACCACUUUUCUACAUAAAAGCAAUAAACAGAUGUAAUUCGGGGUAAACAUUCUCUUCCUAAUGCAAAUAAGAACCUCAUAUAAUUCCAGAGAAAGAAGUUAUUUCCCAUUAACACAGUAAUCCUACUUCUAUGAAUCUAAUAAUUUCCUGGAAAACAGCCCAGAGUAAGAACAAAGGCUUAUUAUACAUGUUUACCCCAGUACAUUUUUUUUUAAAGAAAAGAACAAAGUUAUUCAGAGUAAUAGGGUGAUAAUUACGUAUGUGGAAAUUAUAUAUGAGGAAAUUAUUAUGUGUCUGGAAAAUGAAAUAUUAAGCUGCAUUAUUUAUAAAGAUAAUGUUGUAAACUGUUUAAAUAUUUAUCAAUCACAUUCUGUUUACAUUGAGAUUUUUCAACCUCAGCAACUAUUGACAUUUUGGAUGGAUGAUUCUUUGCUGCAGCAGGGGUGGAGGGGAGAAGUUCUGUGUGUUGUAGGAUGUUUAAUGGUGUCCCUGGCCUUUACCCACUAGAUGCCAAUAGCAUCUACCCCCAAUUACUGCAAUAAAAAUGUUCCCAAAUCUUGUCAACUGUCUGCUGGGUGGGAGGAAGUAGGGUCAAAAUCACCUGUGGUUGAGAACCAGUAGUUUAAAUCUAGUGUCUAUGUAAUAGCUCACUACCCAGUCCUUAAGAAGAAUAACACAGUUUGGUAGGUAUUAGUACAGAACAAACCCCAUGAUAUUUGGAAAGCGACAGAAGCAAGGUAUAGAAAUUAUAGCACAGUAAAGGAUUUAUAUAAAAGCAAAAGGUAUACCUUUAUUGUUUAAUGGUUUAUUAUCAGGAUUAUUGUUAGGAGGACGGAUUAUUUUAAUGCAUGGUUACUUCCACAGACUAUAUGGAAUCAAAGAAAAUAACAUUACACAAUAAGAGAACAAACAACCCAAUCAACAAAUGGGCCAAGGACCUGAACAGACACUUCUCAGAGGAGGACAUACAGUCAAUCAACAAGUACAUGAAAAAAUGCUCAACAUCUCUAGCUGUCAGAGAAAUGCAAAUCAAAACCACCCUAAGAUACCAUCUCACUCCAGUAAGAUUGGCAGCCAUUAUGAAGUCAAACAACAACAAGUGCUGGCGAGGAUGUGGGGAAAAGGGUACACUUGUACAUUGCUGGUGGGACUGCAAAUUGGUGCAGCCAAUUUGGAAAGCAGUAUGGAGAUUUCUUGGAAAGCUGGGAAUGGAGCCACCAUUUGACCCAGCUAUUCCCCUUCUUGGUCUAUUCCCUAAAGACCUAAAAAGAGCAUGCUACAGGGACACUGCUACAUCGAUGUUCAUAGCAGCACAGUUCACAAUAGCAAGACUGUGGAACCAACCUAGAUGCCCUUCAAUAGACGAAUGGAUAAAAAAAAUGUGGCAUUUAUACACAAUGGAGUAUUACUCUGCAUUAAAAAAUGACAAAAUCAUAGAAUUUACAGGGAAAUGGAUGGCAUUAGAGCAGAUUAUGCUAAGUGAAGCUAGCCAAUCCCNUUGGAGAAGGUCUUCAAGGCCAAGCUUGAUCUCUAGUUGGGAGUGAAUGGCUGAUAUUAUACAUUCUGAAACUGUCAGGUUGAAAUAAUUUUGUUAAAAUAGAGCCAUUUCUAGCCUAAAAGUUCAGCUUUUUUGGAGAGUUUUUUUUUUUUCAUGUAACCAUUUAUAGUAUGGGUGUUUUAUUUUGUGGAGAGUAUUAUUUAUGUCGGUGUUUCUCAACUGGAUAAUUUUGCCCACCCAGGUCAUUUGGCAAUUUAUAUAGGCAUUUCUGGUUGUCACAACUGAUAUGACACUGCCAUCUAGCGGAUAGUGGCCAGAGAUGCUGCUAAGUAUCCUAUGGUGCACAGGGCAGGUCCCACAACAAAGAAUUAAAACCUGGUUUAUGUCAACAGGCAUAAACCACGUAGAGGAAGGGAGAAUUUUAACUGAAAUAUUCUUUGAAAAUAAUCCAAAUAAAGUCCAAAUUUUCCCAUCCAUCUCACCCAAACUACAUUACAAUUACAAGCAGAAACCAUCCAUUCAUCCGAGAAUACUUUCCUAAAAUUCUUAAGUAGAAAAGUUGGUGUGUGUACAUGUGUGUAAAAAGACUCUUAACUAGUUAUUAAAAGAUUAUUUUAUGUUGGGCAUGGAGGUACGCUCCUGUAAUGUCUCAGAAAGCUGAGAUAGGAAGAUCGCGAGAUCAAAGACAGCCUCAGCAAAAGUGAAGUGCUGAGCAACUCAGUGAGACCCUGUCUCUAAAUAAAAUGCAAAAUAGGGCUAGGGAUGGGUCUGGUGGUUGAGUGCACCUAAGUUCAAGCCCUAAUACCAAAAAUAGUAAUAAUAAAAUAAAAUAAAAGGACUGGGGAUGUGGCUCAGUGGUUAAUUGCCCCUGGUACAAAAAAAAAAAAAAGAAUUGUUGUCCCCUCAUUUUACAAAUGAGGCACUCCCCAAGCUGAAAUAAUUGAAUGAUUGUGUUAAAGCAGAACCAUCUUUAGCCUAAAGAAAUGGUGAUUUGUCAAGUUCACUUGCAGAGCAGGAUUGGACAGGCCCGUGUGAUCCCAGGCCCACACUUGUCCACUCUUCCAUACUACCACUCCCUUCCAGAACAAGGUUGCCUUUCUGUACAUGUGAUGUUCUUUCAAUACACUCACAUGUUCCGAUGAGUAAAAGGUUUUAUUACUAUUAGAAAUGAGAUUGCAUGACUAGCAUAGAUCACAGAACUAUUAAACAUUCCAUACUUCUUCCAAACUUAUUUACUAUGGGACCUGAUGUUUUCUGGGGUUAGGAAUCCAGAUUUUCCUACCUGAGAGUGCAAAGUAAUGCUGUUUAUCUGAACUUCUAGUUUAAUGAAAAAAUGAAUUGUUAUACCUGGAUAUAGAAGGCUUUCUAAAGUCACAAGGAGACCCUUCAUGAUCUAAUAACAUAAUAGUUAACAAAUUCAUACUUAAAUCACUCAUACAUUUUAUUACAAACUAAAAAUUCUUUCUCUUCUUUUGUACACUUCUGGCCCCACCUUACCCUGGGUUUUCCUCAAUAUAUCAAUCUUUUAAGGCCCAUCUGGAAAGAUGCCUCUCCUGCGAAUAAUUCCCUAAUUCUUCCAGAUUCUUCUUUACCAGAAUUAAUCCUUCUGUGUAUCCACUGGAACUGUUCCUAUUCCUCUUUAUCUUUUGUUUUUUUAAUUUUUUUAAAGUUGUAGAUGGAUACAGUAUCUUUAUUUUUAUUUAUUUAUUUUUAUGUGGCGCUGAGGAUCGAACCCAAGGCCUCACGCAUGUGAGGCAAGUGCUCUGCCACUGAGCUACAGUAACCCCAGCCCUCCUCUUUAUCUUUUCUACACUUGUCUGUAUAUUUUAAUAGCUUAUCCCCUACUGGAAUGGUAGCUCCCUAAGAGUAGAGAAGUAAUGGUCACUAUGUUCCUUCUUGAUGAUUCCUAACUUCCUGUUUGUGAUUCUUAUUAUAUUUCCCCCUGUGCAGGCCAAAAUGAAAAACAGAAAAAUGAUUAAGAAAAUAGUAGGGAUAAGUUUAUUUUAUUUAAAAUAAUGCCAAGUGUAGUGAUACACACCUGUAAUCCCUGCUACUCAGGAGACUGAGGCAGGAGGAUCACACGCUCAAGGCCAACCUGGACAAAUGUAGCGAGACCCUGUCUCAAAAAAUAAAGAGGGCUGGGGAUGUGACUCAUUGCUUAAAUGCCCUUGGGUUUAAUCCCUGGUACCAAAAAUAAAUUAUUUAAAAUUUUGGAAAGAUUCUUUUUUAUGUAGAUAUUGCUAUUAUUUCUUUUUUGAUUGUUUACAUGGACUUUCUUUUAUAAAAUGAUGGCCAUAUAGUCUUCAUGUCUCUUCAAAAUUAUUGAGCUUAUGAAAAGCAAGGAAAGAAUGAGAAAGUGCCACAGGUGGAAGAAACUGAAGAGACACGAUGACAUGGAUCCUGGAGCAGAUAAAAGACAUUAGUGGAAAAAUUGGUGAAAUCCAUAUAUGUUAUAUACUUUACUUAAUAGUGACAUAUCUAAUCAAUGGGUACAAACUUACAUUUAGGGGAAAAAUUUCUGGUAAAAAUUGCUUACAGCCUCCCUAAGUUACUGAGGCUGGAUUUGAACCUGUGAUCCUCCUGCCUCAGCCUCCUGAGCCACUGGGAUUACAGGUGUGUGCCACCACGCCCAGCUAUAAUAACGUUUUUAAUUAAAUAUUAAAACCAAAGUGAAAUUGACACAAGUCUCUCAAACCUGUACCUAUGUAAGAGCCCUACAAGCCCCAAUCUGCCUAGGACUCUGUGCUGGAGUAGUUUUCAGGCACUUCAUUCUCAGGUGUCUCCCUGGACAAUUUUUGAUCAGAGUUUGAGCUGAGCAGAAUAACUUCCCUCUAAACUACAACAUAGCUGGUGCUUUGGCGAUAAGAUGGCAGCCUGCUACACUGACACUCAGUUCUUAAGCUCAGGUGCCAUGCAUGUGCUAGAAGGCAUAUUUACUUAUCCUGGUUUGGUGAGGCGUGAUUGUGGAAGUGAGCACACAUCAUUUGGGUCAGCAGAGGGCGCUCUUAAGCAACAGUCGUAGUCACUACCUACUUUCUCUACUGGGUGUGGACAGAAGACUGUUGCAUGGGGGAGAUUUUGUAUAAUCGUAGAAGUUGGGAAAUCAUUCCUUUGAGGAUCCUUAAAUAUAACGUGGAAGGUAAAACAAUGCAGGUAAAGCACCUUUAUCACAUUUUAUAGAAUGUAGGUGGUACCAGUUAGGAAGCUGGGCUACUGAUUACAUGGACAGGCAGCAGUAAUUUGUCCGAAGAGAUUCCUCAACAGUUUGAACUUGUUCUGGAUUCAAAGAGGAAGAGGCAUCCUAUCCCUGUGAUUCUAGAAGUAGAUGCUGCUAUUCAGCUUGACUGAAUACUUAGGUUUGUGGAUAUGAUUAAUGUGCAUGUCUAGAAAUUUUAAUCAGAAUAAAAGGAAAAUGAGUAGGUUUAGGAGACUUUUGAGAAUGUGAACAACAGAAAAAUAUGAGGAAAAUAGCCAGAUUUCUCUCUCUCUCUCUCUCUCUCUCUCUCUCUCUCUUUGUAGUUAGAUAUUAUCGGGUAGAACUCCUCAAUGUCCAUACCAAUGAAGGACUCUAUGAUCACUUCAAAUCAGGAUACUGUGGCUCUGGGUCCCUUGGCUAAGCUCUUCUUUUCACUUAGGAAUCAUGAAACCUAUUAUCAGCUUUGCAUACUGAGGCAUGAGAUCCUUUCUCUGAGCUAGCCAGUUCACCUGAAGCCACUGACAUUGGUAAUGUCCUGUUGUUACCUGUGUGAAACCCCUACAAUCUGGCUGCUAUUGCAAUUGGGGAGGGUGAAAAUAGUUUUAUUUUCAGAGACAGAAAAUGUUGAUUUACGUCCUUGCUCUGCUCUUAGGAACCACACACCCUAAUUGUACUUGGCCACAAUGUUUUCAUCAGCAAUGUGUAGAUGAUGAUAUGUACCCAGCGUCAGAUGCUUUGUAAAGACUGAAAUUCUAUGCAAAGGCAAGAUGUCAUUCGUUCAUUCAUUCAUUCAGCGAAUCUUCAGUGUCAGCUGUAUGCUGGGUUUUGUUGAAGAUGAGUUUAAAAAAAGUCCUUGCCCUCAGGGAUUUUAUGUUCUCUUAGGGAAGAUGGGUAAUAAAUGAAUAACCAAAUAAUUUUAUAAUAUAGUGUUAUGUAGUAAAAAAUCUGGAAGAAACAAAUCAGGGUAUGAGAUAAAGAUUAGAUUGAAAUGAAACUGUAAAAUUAAUAUGUGAUAUUAAUUAUAAUAAUAAUAAAGACUAGAUUAAUAAAUUAGAUGCAAUGGGCUGGUUGAGGCAGGUUUACUUAGGCAGUGACAUUGAGCAGAGGCCUGAAUGAUGUGAGGAAGUGAACCAUGAGAACGUUGGGGGAAAUAUAUAUCAGAAAGCAUGAGGAUCUGAGGGAGGACCCACAAAUGGGAUCUCUGCCCAAGGAGGUGUAACAGAUGGGCUAAGUCUAGAACUUACUGAGCAGGUACUUUGCACACAUGACCUCAUAGCUUCCUUCCAAGGUCCAUUUUUUUUUUUUUUUUUUUUUUGGUACUGGGAAUUGAACUCAGGGGCACUUGACCACAGAGCCACAUCCCCAGCCCUAUUUUGUAUUUUAUUUAGACUCAGGGUCUCACUGAGUUACUUAGUGCCUCACCAUUGCUGAGGCUGGCUUUGAACUUGCAAUCCUCCUGCCUCAGCCUCCAGAGCUGCUUAGAUUAUAAGCAUGCGCUACCACACCCGGCCCAAUGUUCAUUUUAUACAUGCAUAAAUUGAGCCUCCAAGAAAUUAAAGGACUUCACCCCACAUCUCACACCUGGUAAAUAGCAAACCUGAGAUUCCAACCAGGGCACCCAAACUUGACUGAUUUCUGGAGACAGAGCCAUGUCAACAAUGGGAAGUGAAAGCAGGAGUCCCCGAAGCAUCUGGGCCUCUUCAGGGUGUGACACAGAAAUGUCAUGAAGGGACCUAGUAGAAUUUAAAGUAGCUGGGUUUGCCUGUGGGCUAAACACCUGAACUGUGUUGGUCAUUUUCUUCCUUUUUAAUUAAAACUACUUUUUGUUUCUUGUGAAGGUACCUAUGCGGGGUUUUGGAUUAGAUGAAUCAGUUUAGUGGGAUGAUUUUUUUAAGUUUUUGAGUGAUUGCUCAAGUUGGCAAAUCCUUGUUAAACAUUGUUAAAAUAUUUGUGUAAACUAGCUUGUGUUCUUCAUUGUAUGGAUUCUGACAUCAUAUUUCUAUCCCUGACACUAGUUAGCAGAGUCUAUUAUGCAGGCUGUUCCUUGGUGGCAUUUCUCAUCAGCCAUAUAUGACCUCAACUUGUGUUUUCGUUUUGUUUUACUCAGCUACCAAGAGGCAGGGGAAAAAGCUACCACUUAAGGGCAAAUGUAAAUGAAAGAAAAAUAUAAUUUCCCCUAUGAUAUAAACUUUUUGCUUUAAAGAAAAAGUCUUGCAUCUUAUUGCGAAACAGAAUGAGGCACCCACACUCUUCCUUCUAGGUACCAUUUGGAAAGAAACAACAAACUAUAUUUUCUUUUGGGUUAUAAUUCUUCAGAAUUAAUUUACAGUUCCUUGAGGGACACCUUUCCUAAAUUACAUAUGGCAAGUGACACUUUUCUGUCAUCACUGUUAUGGGUUUGUUUCUUUCUCUCUCCAUACACAAACACAAAGAAAUAAGAAUUGACAAGGAAGCAAAAAUAUUUAGUAAAGAUCCAUGGAAAGGUCUAGAAGGAGGAAAGGAGGAAGACAGACCAAGAAGCACAUCAACUGCUUUAAGAAAACACCUGGUUCAGAUUACAAACUUCUUACUUAAUUGGACACACACACAACCCUUGACUUUAAACAUAACACUCAGAAUUCGUCAGCCACCCACGGCAAUUCUCCAGGUGUUUGUGAUUAUGUAAUGCCCUCAAAAAUCAUCUGGAUUGUGUCAGCUCUCAGAAGUACUGCUUGACUUUUUGUAAAAAGAAAUCCUCUACGGACAUUAAUUUAUAUGUAAGGUCUCAGGGUAACAUUUAUAGCACUUAGCCAAAAAUAAAAGAUUAUAAUAAAAGGUCAGGGUUUCCUUGGUUUCUGAGGAGGUUUUUUUGCUUUAAGUAGUAAAAGGUAGGCAUUAUGUGUUCAAUAAUUCUUCAUUGACCAGACUUCUAAUUCAGAUUUUAUAGUCUUUGGGGUGGGAGAAACAAUGUUUACUUUAUUAAUAAUCAGGGAGAAAGAGAAGGUCCACACUGCAAACGUGAAGGAAAAGGGGAGACGACUAUCUUUGCAAUUUUUGAGAACAGGGUUGAAGUUGCUCUCCAAAAUCAAAUUUGAAAAUUAAAAAACAAAACAAAACAAAACACCUCUCCUCUCUUGGUGUCCACUUAAAUUUUCAUCUUUAAAUGAGUCACAACACAAUUUAUUUAUUUUUUUUGAAGUUCCCUGGCAUAUUUUCUGAUGAUUAGCAAGUUGAAAGUCCUUAGGCUUGGAUAACUGAAAAUUUGGGGAUGGAAAAUAAUAUGAUUGGAAAGGGACUAUUUGAGAACCCAAAGGGGAGCUUCAGUACCAACACAAUGGGAAUGGCUUUUCUUAUCCAAUUAUUUAAAUUGAAAGUGUAUAUGUAGGGCUUGGGCUGUGGCUCAGUGGUAGAGCACUUGCCUAGCAUGUGUGAGGCACGGGGUUCAAUCCUCAGCACCACAUAAAAAUAAAUAAAAUAAAGGUAUUAUGUCAAUCUACAACCAAAAAUAUUUAAAAAUAAUGUAUGAGUAGCAGGAAAAGGAAUGCCAUUCUAGACCCACUCCUUAGAGUUUAGCUGACUGUUGUUUGAAAAUUGGAAAGUUUUUACUCCUAUUCUGACACGAAUAUCCUCUAUAAAAAUUACAGGUCUUUUCCACCUAGUAUACAUGUUAAAGUCUGAGCUAUAUGGCCUUAUAUGUGAUAGGGAGUUAUUCUUCUUAUUCUUCAUAUUUCUUCUUAUGUCUCCUUGCUUUUCUGUUCAUCUGUGGUUCACCUAAGCAGGGAACAGAUAUUUACCAACAUCUACAUGCAUAGAAAGAAGCAGAACACUUAUUCUCAUCCCGCUGAUUAGAGGCAGCAUCUUUAUUUUUUCUAAAAUAAAAAGCUAUUUCCAUUAGAAAAGUAAAUUAAUCAUUGCCAAAAUUCAAACUAUCAGAAAAAUGGAAGAUUUUCUUUCCAUUUUUAUUUAUUUUCAAUAAUAUAUACCUGCAAUUCCGUUACUUGAAGAUGACUGCUGUUCACAUUUGGGUAUGUGUCUAUCUGAGCACUUUCAUGUACACUAACAAUAACUGGAUAAAAUUUUACUGAUUGAACCCAUUUAAAAACACUUGUAUUUGACUCCUUUAUAAAUGGAGUUGCUGUUCUUUGACCUAUUUUUUUGAUUAAAUAAUCAUUGAUUUUUUUCUGUGUCAAUAGAGAUCUAUACCACUUUUUAUCAAUUGCAUAGUAUUCUCUUAUAUGGCUAUAUUAUAAUUAAGUGUCUGAUAUUAAUCCAUCACCUAGAUUGUUUCUGUCUUUUUUUCUAUUGUAAUAAAUAUUGCAAAGGAUAGAUUUCUGCAGACAUUUUGUAUUUCUUUUGUCUCAUUAGAUUCUAAUCUUGGAAGUAUAUUAUUUAUAUUUAAUUCAUCCACUGGAAUAUGGUUUUCUAUUUGGUGGGAGUUUUCUCAUAUGAUCACUCAGUAAUUCCAAUACUGUUUAUUGGAAAAUGCUUGUCUGCCCCUCUGAUUUAAGAUCGCUGUUAUCAAAUAUUAAUUUCACAUACAAAUGGCUCUUUUGUUCCUGUGUCAAUGUUGUACUGUCACUGUUACCAUAGUAAGUCUCUAGGUAUGAUGAGUUUUAUAGUUAAAAACCUAUAACCUCUAAUUUCUGAAGCCAUCUGCCUAUCACCUGCUAGAGUAAAGGUUCUGCCUAGGCUGUUCUGUUCACAGUGAACCUUAACAGCAUUGUUUUGCACGAUGAAACAUGGAGAGUCCUCUGUUAGCUAGCCUGGAUUUGUAGUAUAGUAAGUGCUUUAUAAAUAUUUGGUUCCAAGAACUGGUACCGAACACGGUUAGCUCAAGAAGAGGAGGGUUUACUCUCAGGCUACAAGAUAAAACUUCAACAGCACCACAAUACAGGUCUUUUAUUGCCUUGGUUUGGGAUAUGAAGAGGCAUAAUGAAUAAUGAGCUGGUUCCCAGCUUGAGUUGUCAACCAAUUGAGAAGAUUAAAAAAAAAAGAAAAGAAACAUGGCAGACAAAAAUGUACCUUCAUUUCUGAUAAGGCUGAUAUUGGAGAAGGUGGCUUAUAUCUGCAGGCAGGUCAUGCUCCUGAAAACUAGGCAGACAUACUCAGAUCUCACUAACAGUGUUGGACCCCUGAAUGCCACUUCUAUGAGGGCUGGUCCCCUCCCAGAGGCCAAGAACUAAAGAGGACUCUUACUUUCGGGGCGGGGCUGAGAUCUAAGAGGAAGGGGAAAGAAAGCAGUUCAGCUUUGCAAGCUCAGUUUCUUCUUUCAAGUCUACUUGACUGUGAAGGGGAGGGUGAGGUACAAGAGGCAAAGUGUGGCCUGCAAGGUAGCGCACACGUGCCAUUCCAGUGGCUUGGGAAGCUGAGACAGGAGGAUCAUGAGUUCAAAGCCAGCCUCAGAAAAAGCGAGGCCCUAAGCAACUCAGUGAGACCCUGUCUCUAAAGAAAAUACAAAAUAGGGCUAGGGGUGUGGCUCAAUGGUCAAAUGCCCCUGAGGUCAAUCCCUGGUAGCCCUCUCCAAAAGAAAAGAGGCAAAGUGUGUUGAUAUUAAUGAAGUUUCCUUCAUGCCGAAGCAUACAUCAAAAAAGGGAGCACAGGUUCUAAGCCUUUGUGGAAGGUCCUACCCUGCUUUAAUCAGCUGUGACUGAUGGAGCAUUACUCACAUGGAAUGGGUGAGAAUAUGGCAGUAGGAGGCUAAAGUUAUGGAUCAAUCCAGAAUAGUACUACUAUUUGUUUUAUUUCUAGGAACUUUCUCAUCUCCCUGUUGCCAUUCCCAUUUGUUGGAUGAGUCCUGUUUUUUUUUUUUCCUCACUUCUUGACUUUCACACAUGCCUGGAAUACACUUCCUGCCCAUCACCACCACCAUCUUUUUUUUCCUGGUAUACUCCUAUCCCUCACCUCCUCUGAGGAGCUUUACCUUGCACUCAAGUGUUAGUAAACUACCCACCUGUCCUUAUCAGCACCAUGUUCUAACUUGGCAGGAUGCAAGUUCUCUGUUUUACUUCCUGCCUGAUAUUUGUCUUUCCCAUGAGAACAGAAGCUUCAUGAAGACAAUUAACAUAUCUGUCUUUUCUACUCUUUUUGUUUUUAAUCUUCUCCCAACAUGAUAUAUAGAACUUAUAAAGGAAUAGUGUAGAUGAAUUCAUCUUCUUAAUGUUUUUAAAUGAUUAUCAUAGGUUUUAUACCUUUGAAUUGAUGAUCUUAUGAUUAUUUUCCCCAACACAAAUUUAUAGGAAAAAUGAUUUUAAAAACACAUUGCCACUUAUGAGUUAUAAAAUAACUUUUUGAAUUUCAUGUUAAAUGUCUACUUAGGUCUACUUUUUAUACUUUGUUAUAAAGCAAAGACAUACUACAAAAGCAAUCUAGCCUGAAUAUAUUUGAGAGGUUCUUGUGUAGAGGAGAAAAUAAUUAUGUUUGUGUAAAACAGAAGUAUCUGAUGUAUAUGUUAAGAACUUCAUAACUAGUUUUUCUUUUCUUUUUUUAAAUUGAUGGACCUUUUCUUUAUUCAUUUAUUUGUAUGUGGCGCUGAGGAUCAAACCCAGUGCCUUACACAUGCUAAGCAAGCACUCUACCACUGAGCCACAACCCCAGCACUCCCCCCGCCUUUUUUUUUUUUUUUGACUUAUUUCAGACAAGAGGCCUAACAGUGUUGGCCUAUUUUUUAUUAGGUACUGGGGAUUGAACCCAGUGGCACUUAAUCACUAAGCCACAUCCCCACCCCUUUUUAUUUGUUUAUUUAUUUAUGAGAUGGGGUCUUGCUGUUAUGGUUUAGUUUUUGUUUUGUUUUGUUUUUGUGGUGCUGAGGAUUGAACCCAGGGCCUUGUGCAUGCGAGGCAAGCACUCUACCAACUGAGCUAUAUCCCCAGCCUGCUGUUAUGAUUUACAUGUGAGGUGUCCCCCAGAAGUCCAUGUGUGACACAAUGCAAGAGGGUUCAGAGGAGAAAUGAAAGAUUGGGUUAUGAGAGCCUUUACCCAAUCAGUGACUUAAUCCCUGAUGGUAUUAACUGAGUGGUAACUGGAGGCAGGUGAGGUGCUGCUGGAGGAGGUGAUUCACUGGGUCAUGGCUAUGGGGUAUAUAUUUUGUGUCUGGAGAGUAGAGACUUUCUCCCUUGCUUCCUGAUCGUCACCUAGAGCUGCUUCCAUCUGCCAUGAUGUCUACUUCACCUCACCAUGAUGUCCACCUCAUGGAGACUGCUGUCUAUGGACUGAGACCUCUGAAACCAUGAUCCCCUGAAUAAACCUUUUCUCCUCUACAGUUGUUCUGGUUGGGUCUUUCAGUCGCAGCAGAAAAAAAAAAAAAAAAAGCUGACUAAAACACUCACUGAGUUACUUAGGGCCUUGCUAAAUUCCUGAGGCUGGAUUUGAAUUUGUGAUCGAUCCUUCUGCCUCAGCCCCUCUGGAGCCACUGAAAUUACACGCAUGGGCCACUGUGCCCAGACAUAACUAGUUUUUUUUCAAUAUAUAUAUUUUUAGUUAUAGAUGGACACAAUAUCUUUAUUUUAUUUAUUUAUUUUUAUAUGAUGCUGAGGAUUGAACCCAGUGCCUCAUGCCUGCAAGGCAAGCGCUCUACCACUAAGCUACAACCCCAGCCCCAUAACUAGUUUUUCUUACCUCUUCGGCAUAGUUUUUUUUUUUUCCUUCUUCUUUAAAUAAUAGUUUCACUUGCUUUUUUUAGUUGAGAUUUAGGGAAUUGGUAACAGUUGCAAGUUCAAGAAGUUGGUAAGAAGCAUAAUUCAUUCUUUUAAAAUACUGACUUAAACUGCUAUAUUUGGUUGAAAAUUAAGUCUAGAUACAUAAUAAUAGAUGUUGGGAUUUUAAUCACAAUUGGCUUUUUCUGGUUCAUUCAUUUAAUAAUGGUUGAUAAAAUUUUGAAGUGAAAUUUCUGGUAUUAAAAAAGAUAAUGAUAUUAGGAAAAUAUUGAGAUAGCUAAAGUAUGAAAAAGUCAUCCAAUAAUGUAAAUGUUAGAAGUUGUUACCCUUAAGCCUGAGGUAAGGAGCCCUGAGUGGUUUGCAGAUAAACAGCAUUUUUUUAAUGUUCCUUUCAGGACUAUCUGGGCUGAUUGGCAAUUCCUGUAGGAGUAAAAGAUGAAUUUCACAAAUGUUUACAAAUUGAGCAAAACGGUUGUCAAAUCUAAAUAGAAUGUACAAAGAGAUCCUUGUAUCUUGACACACAUGACAUUUUAAGUCUUACAUGCUAAAUUGUGCAUUUCAAAAAACAAUAUUACUACAUCCCUUAGGUAAUUAAAAAUUCUAAGUAUUUGGUUUCUCUUUAAUCCUUGUUUUCUAGGGUAAUCAUAAUAGCCUUAAAAAUGAGAAUUUUAGAACUGCUUGAUUUUUUUCUUAUAAAAAUUAUUUUUUCACAUAUUUAUUGGCUCAUUAUAGGUGUAUAUAAUGGUGAGAUGUUGUUAUGUAAUUUGUACAUGCACAUGAUAUAGCAGUAUAAUUUGGCCAAUAACACUCCCCAGUACUUUCUCCCUUGAUUUUUUUUCCUUUUAGUAAAAUAAUGAUAGGAGGGAGGCUCAACUUUCUUCUGCUUUUCAGAGUUUUCCACCCAUACAAAAUGCUCACCAUUGUUGACUGUUGAUUUUCAAAUUCAUUUUUCUAGAUCAUAUUGUCAAAUAGAAAUUUUUGUAAAGAUGGAAUAUUUGCCAGGCAUGGUGGCGCAUGCCUGUAAUCCCAUCAGCUUGGGAGGCUGAAACAGGAGGAUCACGAGUUCAAAUCCAGCCUCAGCAACAGUGAGGCCCUAAACAACUCAGUGAGACCCUGUCUCUAAAUAAAAUACAAAAUAGGGCUGGGGAUGUGGCUCAGUGGUCGAGUGCCCCUGAGUUCAAUCCCUGGUACAAAAAAAAAAAAAAGAGAUGGAAAUAUUCUGUAAUAUUCCCCAUCCAUUAUGGUAGCCAUUAGCCACUUGGGGCUAUUGAGCUAUUAAAAUGUGGCUGGUGCAACUGAGGAGCUGAAUUGAAAUUUUAUUUGAUUUUAAUUAAUUUAAACUUCAGCAGCCCCAUAUGGCUAGUGGCUACUCUGUUGGAUAGCACAGAAUUUCCAUUUUUAGAUUCAAUAUGGACAUAAGUCCAGAAAAGUGGACUUUAUGUGAAUUUAUUUGACAUAUUUCAUAAGAAUUUAUUGAGUACCUAGUAAAUUUGUGUGCCUAGUGUGAGAAAUGUUUCAUUUGGACUCUCUGAAUUGGCUUUUAGGGGAAAGUAUGGAGAUCUGAGAUGCAUCAUCCCACAAACCUGUGAACAAGGCCUUGGUAGCAGGGACCUUACUAUUUCAACAGGAGUUGCCCUCUUUCACCCUGAGCUACAGGGCCAUCAUCUACCUGCUGAGGGAGUGAGCCCAGUAACUGGCUAUGAGCUCUGGCAUGCCAGGGCUGUUGCAUCUGAAAUGCUCUCAAAGACUUUGCAUGGGUGGGUAGUGUGACCCUGUCAUUGAGACUCCCUCAGCUUGCUUUACUUUCUUAAUUAUUCCCAACAUUUUUUUUUUUUGAGCACCAGAGAUUGAACUCAGGGCCACUCAACCACUGCUGAGUUGCUUAGCACCUUGCCUUUGCUAAGGCUGGUUUUGAAUUUGUGAUCCUCCUGCCUCAGCCUCCCAAACCACUAGGAUUACUGAGUGCACCACUGCACCCAGCACUCUUGACAUUUUCCUCAACAAAUUUUUGGUGGAAAAAUCCAACAACUCUUCCCUGACACUUGAUACUUUUGUCUUCCCCUCCCCCAGUUUUAUUGAUACAGAAGACAAGUUAAAAAAAUGUACAAUGUGAUGUUUUGAUACAUGUAUUCAGUAUGGAAUGAUUAUCACCUCACAUAGUUACUUUGUAUGUGUGUAUAUGCUGAAGAUCUACUACCUUAUCAAAUUUCACAUAUACAGUGCAUUAUUAAGAACUCUAAUUACAUGCUGUGCAGUGGGUGUCCAGAAAUUUUUGAUCUUAUAACUGCAAGUUUAUACCCUUUGACCUACAUUUCUGUAUUUUUCCUGUCCCUGAUCCCUGGUAACCACCCUUCUACUUUCUGUUUCUAUAAAUGAGAUCAUGCAAUAUUUGUCUUUCUGAGUCUGGCUUAUUUCACUUAACAUAAUGUCCUCUGGCUUCAUCUAUACUGUUGGAAAUGACAGGAUAUCCUACUUCUUUAAGACUUUGAAUAAUGUUUUACUAUAUCACAAUUUCUUUAUCUACUCACCCAUUUGCAGACAUUUAGAUUGUGUCCAGACCUUGGCUGAAGAGUGUUGCAGUGAACAUGGGAGAGCAGAUAUCUCUUCAAAAUUUUAUUUACUUUUUGAAUAUAUACCUAGAAAUGAGAUUGCUGGAUCCUGUGAUAGUUCUGUUUUUUAAAUUUAUUCAGGAAUGCCUAUACUGUUUUCCAUUGUGGCUCUACCAAUUUACAUUCUAACUAGGAAUAUAUAAGGGUUCCCUUUACGCCACAUCUUCAUCAUCACUCAUUAUAUUCUGGCCAUUUAAUAAUAGCCAUCCUGACAGGUGUGAAUUCAUAUGGCAUUGUGGUUUUGAUUUGCAUUUCUUUGAUAAUUAGUGAUGCUAAAUAUUUUCACUUAUACCUGUUGGUCAUUUUAUGUCUUCUUCGAAAAAAUAUGUAUUCAGUUUCUUUGCCCGUUUUCUCCCCCCAUGGGAAAGCAACUUGAAAUAGGAGAAAAUAGUUUGCAAACCAUGAUAAGGAACUCAUACAAGCCAAUAACAAGAAACCACACAUAAUCGAAUUUUAAAUUGGGCAGAGGAUCUACUUUUUCUUCUGUUUGUUUUUUAAAGGUAUCUUAUCUUCUGGAAGGGGGAAGCAUGGCCCAUGAAGACUUCUGUGGACAUGUUGGUAAAAUGAACCCAGGAGAUGUGCAGGUAUAGCUAAGGG